GUGGGGAAUAUUGGACAAUGGGCGAAAGCCUGAUCCAGCCAUGCCGCGUGUGUGAAGAAGGUCUUCGGAUUGUAAAGCACUUUAAGUUGGGAGGAAGGGCAGUAAGUUAAUACCUUGCUGUUUUGACGUUACCGACAGAAUAAGCACCGGCUAACUUCGUGCCAGCAGCCGCGGUAAUACGAAGGGUGCAAGCGUUAAUCGGAAUUACUGGGCGUAAAGCGCGCGUAGGUGGUUUUGUAAGUUGGAGGUGAAAUCCCCGGGCUCAACCUGGGAACUGACUCCAAAACUGCAUGACUAGAGUACGGUAGAGGGUAGUGGAAUUUCCUGUGUAGCGGUGAAAUGCGUAGAUAUAGGAAGGAACACCAGUGGCGAAGGCGACCACCUGGACUGAUACUGACACUGAGGUGCGAAAGCGUGGGGAGCAAACAGGAUUAGAAACCCGGGUAGUCC
rnacentral:rRNA from 1 species